rnacentral:rRNA from 1 species
AUGCUUAUUCAACUACGGCACUGUCGGACAACCGACCGGAUUCAAGCCCUAGCCCCUCAACUCGGACGGACUUGUGGAAAUCCUCGAAAAAAAGUAUUGCUCAACUCACCUAUCUAUAACAUAGAAAUGUUGCAUCCAACCCUGGAACGAGAGGUAAAGAAUAGGCUACCAUACGAGAUGAGACGACUUCAUUCUUGGCUUUCAUCCCUACGCUUAAGAAAGAUAAGGGAUUGGAUUUCAUACCUUUUAUUUAGAGCUCCGUCGUUCCGACUGGAAAAUGUAACCUUCCACCAUACGUAA